GCACCAAACGGUCACUGGUGUCAGGUUCCGGGGGCAACGAUGGUGAUUCAGUUCGUUGAUUGUUGUGUAGUGGGUCAGGUGGAGGCGAGGACGACAAUGGAUGACGACGAAGAGAUAGGCUGCGAUUGGUGAGGUUGUGGUAACGAUCUGAAUCAACUCUUGGUUUUAUUUGAGAUCGUUGUGUGAGUUUGGUUUUGAAUGCUCAAGGGGUGCGAUUGUAAAAUUUCAAGGGGGCGCUAAGAAUUUUCACUACAAUUAAGUUUUGUCAAUGGUUCCGGUACCCAAGCUUGCAUUGAGGUUAUAUUUGGAAUGUGCUAAGGGUUCCAUGGUGAUUCCGGCAAGAAGGAUCUUCCGAUAUGAUUUUUGAAUCAGCAAUUACGAGUCGAUUCUCCAAUAUAGAUCCGACGGUUUCUCACAUGUUUACGGCUGUAUAGGGGCUGCAGAGACCACUAGCGGCGUGAUUUGUGAACGUUUCGCGUGAAAGCAAGAUUUCUUUCAUCUAGGUUGUUGUCUGUUCGUUCUUUUCGAGCCACAAAUGUUUAGAGGUCAUGUAAGACUUGAUACUAUGACUCAUAUAAGUUGUCAACCAUUGUGUUACCAGGCAACAUCUACAUACAGAAAUGAGGAAGGAUGAUACGUAUUAUCAUAUAAAAGACGUUGUUGGGGACAAGAUGGCGUGGGACCCAUUCAGCCACCAAAUCUUGAUGUUCAAAAUGAUUAAAUGUGGCUCAAGAAGACAAGCCAGCUAGCAACAGAGAACCUAAUCUAAAGCUGGACAAGGUAAUAGCUCAUAAACCAUGAUUUGAUCGUUCAUCUUUGUUAAAACGAGUUGUUUAAGUUUGACCCAAAAUAUUUUUUACCAUUUUUACAGUUCCUUCAUCUAUGUUGAAAUGGGCUGGUUUGGUUUGACCAAAAAUACUUUUGUCUAUUUUAAAAUUUUAAAAAUAAUCAACAACCUAGAAUAGUUACAUUGAUAAUCUAUUUAAAUCAAUUCAGGAGUUAUGUAUGCAUUAAAGUUAUGUUUAGGCAAUUUUCUACAAGUUUGGCCUUUAGGAAUAUUACAUGACCCAGAUUAACCCUUCAUAAGUAAACUACUUCAAACUGUGAGCUCUAUUAUUUUUUUUCCUAAUGUUUGUUUUCUAGGGAAAAUGUUGGUGUAAAGCACUAGCAUAUUCACCUUGGUAGUAUUUUAAAUUGUAUUUACAACUUGCUGAGUGUACAUUAUAUUAGUCUAAUGAACUAGCAUAUUCACCUUGGUGGAUAGAAAAUAAUUUUUUGGUAUGAGAAAAUUUGUUAUUCUUUAGAAUUGUGGGGUUGUCAAAUGCUACUGUAAUAUGAGGAAAGGUCGAAUUGAAUGUGUGGAUAAUUGGAGUAUAGGUUAUGAUUGUAAAAACAUUUGGGUAUUUUAAUCAAGUGGAAAGAGGCCAUGGUAACAUGUUGUUUAGGAAACGUAAUAAGCAUUAUAUGAAUAUAAACCCCACACAUUGCCUCUAAAUGGUCUAAAGUUUUAAUUUACAAAUUGGAUAUUUUAGAAAAGAAACCAACAACAAAUGGAUUUUUACUUAUGUAUUUGAGUUCACAAGUUUGCUCACAAACUGACAUAUAGCAUGUAAAUCCUUUUCUUGUAAAAAGUUUAGUAUAUAAUUAAAGGGUGCCACAUUUAUACGGACCUGAAGCAAAUAAAAAGGGGUUUGAAAGACGCGUUAAAUUAACGUUAAAAUAAAUUUGCACUAACAUUUCGAAAAUACUUGAAGUUGAGAAACCUUAUUUUCUAAUUGGUAUUAUUCAUUACAAAUUGCUUUAUUAGAAAUUUCAGUCAUUAUUUAGAAACGUAGUUUUUACCAUUCUUAUUUAAUAAGUUUAUUAACAAUAAGGUGUCAAUGGCCGGUUGGCCUGGCCCGUUUGAACCCACACUAACUACACAGUUGGCCCGAAGUUGUUCUGGCCCGGUAACCAAUCUGAACGAUCUAUCCCAACACCAAUAUGUAAUUUUUUUUAAGGAAAAUGAUUAAGAAUUGGUUAUUGGAAAAGCGGCAGAGGCUAUUGCGGAUGCUUCAGUUAGUUAGCAUAUGAGGACUUCGUUUAAGGAAGCGGGUGUCGUCAAGAAUCUUUUUCGGCUUCUUGAUUAUGACAGCGAACCCAUUCGAUUAGGCGUUAUUCGCGCUUUAGAAAGGCUUUCAGUUAGGUGGAAUCUCUUUCUUUCUGAUUAAACUUUUUUUUGUCAAAGUUUACGAGUAUAGUUUCAUUUAUAAGCACGUUUUUUUUGUGUAAAUGCAACAAUGAUGUUUGCCAGAAAAUUCAAGCUGAGGGUGUUUUGAAGCCGUUAAUAAGAUCACUGAAGAAUUCGGAUGCUUCAGAAAGUUCAACUCGUAUGAUCCUGAAUAUUCUUGGUCGGAUAUUAGAUCCCAGUAAAGAAAUGAAAUCAAAGGCCUUUGCAUCCUAAUUUGUAUAUUGUUAAGAAGAUCUAAAGCUGGUUUGAAACAUUUAAAAAUGGCAUGGAACCGACUUUAACAAGUAUAAACUACCCUAAAACAGCUAAAGUGGUAUGUUUAUGUCGUGUGCCUUGCUUAUCUUGGGCCCUCACUUUGUAAGCGUCUUCGCCUAGGCGAUAAUCAUCUGAUAUGCAACUGCUAAAGGAAACACUUAAGGGAACUGAAUGAUAAUCAGCUUACAUGUCAUAUUCCACCGGAGCUUGGAAAACUCACCGACCUGUUUGACCUUAAUGUUGCCGGGAAUAAACUCGAGGGGCACGUACCUCAGAAUCUGAGCUCUUGCACUAAUCUCAACAGCCUGUAAAAGAUUAGUUUUAAUACUAAAACACGAAACCACAUCCUUCUUUGUAUUUUUUUUCUGUCAGUAAUGGUGAUCGGUAAUGAUUGGCAGACGACGAGGUGUUGUGGUUGUGGCCGGUGGCGUUUAAUGUUGGACAGUUUAUAGUGGUCGGUUGUUGCAUUGUGUUUGUAUAAAAAGUGGUAGCUCUGAUUGAAUCAGGUAUAAAUAUAAAAUAAGGGCUGUUAUGUGCAUUUUGCUUAUUAUUUCU